rnacentral:rRNA from 1 species
GGGAAUGACAACCUAAAAUGGGUAGGUAAAUCUCAUCUAAAAGCUAAAUAUUGAUAGGAGACCGAUAGACAAACAAGUACCGUGAGGGAAAGGUGAAAAGAACUUUGAAAAGAGAAGUUAAAAGUACUUGAAAUUGUUAACAGGGAAACGAUAUAAUCCUUUAUUCUAUUUGAAUUGAAUCAAUUUUAUCAUAUUUACUUAUGGUGUUUAUAAUUGCUUGCUUUAUGGAUAUUAUUGGUAGAUUGAUAAGAUGCACUUUGGUUUGAAUAGAUUAACAUCGAUUUGUAUGAUAAAAGAAUAGUUGGAAUACGGUAGUAUUCCUGUCUUCGGACUUGAAUAUGAAGUAUCUGAUGAGAAUUAUCAUAUAGAUUGGCAAGUCAAACUCAUGCCUCAUGGCAGCGAAGUGUUCAAUAUGGG